rnacentral:rRNA from 1 species
UAGGGAAUCUUCGGCAAUGGACGAAAGUCUGACCGAGCAACGCCGCGUGAGUGAAGAAGGUUUUCGGAUCGUAAAACUCGGUUGGUAGAGAAGAACGUUGGUGAGAGUGGAAAGCUCAUCAAGUGACGGUAACUACCCAGAAAGGGACGGCUAACUACGUGCCAG